UACGUAGGGGGCUAGCGUUAUCCGGAAUGAUUGGGCGUAAAGCGUCCGCAGGUGGCUAUGUAAGUCUGCUGUUAAAGAGUGAGGCUCAACCUCAUAAGAGCAGUGGAAACUACAUGGCUAGAGUGCGUUCGGGGCAGAGGGAAUUCCUGGUGUAGCGGUGAAAUGCGUAGAGAUCAGGAAGAACACCGGUGGCGAAAGCGCUCUGCUAGGCCGCAACUGACACUCAUGGACGAAAGCUAGGGGAGCGAAUGGG
rnacentral:rRNA from 1 species